rnacentral:rRNA from 1 species
AACGAACGCUGGCGGCAGGCCUAACACAUGCAAGUCGAACGCUCGUAGCAAUACGAGAGUGGCAGACGGGUGAGUAACACGUGGGAACCUUCCCUAUGGUUCGGAAUAGCCCAGGGAAACUUGGGGUAAUACCGGAUAAGCCCUUCGGGGAAGAUUUAUCGCCAUUGGAUGGGCCCGCGUCGGAUUAGCUAGUUGGUGAGGUAACGGCUCACCAAGGCGACGAUCCGUAGCUGGUCUGAGAGGAUGAUCAGCCACACUGGGACUGAGACACGGCCCAGACUCCUACGGGAGGCAGCAGUGGGGAAUUUUGGACAAUGGGCGCAAGCCUGAUCCAGCCAUGCCGCGUGCGGGAAGAAGGCCUUGGUU